rnacentral:tRNA from 2 species
UGAAAAUGGGUAGUUUUAUAGUGCCACAGUCUAUCGUUUGAUUAUUAACUU